GUGCAGGUGCAGCAGUCCAGAACAGUGUGACUCUUCCUCAGAGUUUGUGGAGCAGCUCGGACCCAUCGGCCUCCCACAUGACAUCAACGUCCAAUCACUGUUCGACCCCACAGGUCAGUGCUGUGCUCACCUGCAGUGUGCAUCCUGGUCAGAGGGGGUGUGUCUAACCGAGGGCCAAUCACUGCUCUACGUGGACAAAGCCAUCGACUCAGGAAGCACACAGGUGUGUGCGUUCUGCCGUCGGCUCGGAGCGUCGCUGCGUUGCCGGGAGACAGGCUGUGGGCGGAGCUUCCACUUCCCCUGUGCUGCAGCCGCUGGAGCUCAGCAGGACUGGAGCCAGAGACACACACUGUGUACAAGACACACAGGUA